UGGGGAAUUUUGGACAAUGGGCGCAAGCCUGAUCCAGCCAUGCCGCGUGCAGGAUGAAGGCCUUCGGGUUGUAAACUGCUUUUGUACGGAACGAAACGGCUCUUUCUAAUAAAGAGGGCUAAUGACGGUACCGUAAGAAUAAGCACCGGCUAACUACGUGCCAGCAGCCGCGGUAAUACGUAGGGUGCAAGCGUUAAUCGGAAUUACUGGGCGUAAAGCGUGCGCAGGCGGUUAUGUAAGACAGUUGUGAAAUCCCCGGGCUCAACCUGGGAACUGCAUCUGUGACUGCAUAGCUAGAGUACGGUAGAGGGGGAUGGAAUUCCGCGUGUAGCAGUGAAAUGCGUAGAUAUGCGGAGGAACACCGAUGGCGAAGGCAAUCCCCUGGACCUGUACUGACGCUCAUGCACGAAAGCGUGGGGAGCAAACAG
rnacentral:rRNA from 1 species